UUAUAAGGGCAUUUCGUGGAUGCCUUGGCACUGAGAGGCGAUGAAAGACGUGACACGCUGCGAUAAGCCGUGGGGAGCUGCGAGUGAGCUUUGAUCCGCGGAUUUCUGAAUGGGGAAACCCACCGCAUUAGCGGUAUCCUGCACUGAAUUCAUAGGUGCAGGAGGCAAACCCGGGGAACUGAAACAUCUAAGUACCCGGAGGAAAGGACAUCAAUUGAGACUCCGCUAGUAGUGGCGAGCGAACGCGGACCAGGCCAGUGACCUGGAAGUUAGAAUCGGAAGCGUCUGGAAAGUCGCGCCAAAGCGGGUGAUAGCCCCGUACGAGUAGAAUACUUCCAGUGUCCUCGAGUAAGGCGGGACACGUGAAAUCCUGUCUGAACAUGGGGGGACCAUCCUCCAAGCCUAAGUACUCCUCAGUGACCGAUAGUGCACAAGUACCGUGAGGGAAAGGUGAAAAGCACCCCGACAAGGGGAGUGAAACAGACCUGAAACGGAAUGCCUACAAACAGUAGGAGCGGCCUUGAGCCGUGACUGCGUACCUUUUGUAUAAUGGGUCAGCGACUUAGUUUGUGCAGCAAGCUUAAGCCGAUAGGCGUAGGCGCAGCGAAAGCGAGUCUGAAUAGGGCGUUUUAGUUGCACGAAUUAGACCCGAAACCCGGUGAUCUAGCCAUGGACAGGUUGAAGGUGGGGUAACACCCACUGGAGGACCGAACCCACGCCUGUUGAAAAAGUCGGGGAUGAUCUGUGGUUAGGGGUGAAAGGCCAAUCAAACCGGGAAAUAGCUGGUUCUCCGCGAAAGCUAUUUAGGUAGCGGGUCGAAUGAUUGCCUCGGGGGGUAGAGCACUGGAUGGGCUAGGGGGGCGCGAGCCUUACCAAACCUAACCAAACUCCGAAUACCCGAGAGUACAGUUCGGCACACAGACGGCGGGUGAUAAGGUCCGUCGUCGAGAGGGAAACAGCCCAGACCGCCAGCUAAGGUCCCCAAGUUAUGGCUAAGUGGGAAAGGAUGUGGGGUAGCAUAGACAACCAGGAGGUUGGCUUAGAAGCAGCCAUCCUUUAAAGAAAGCGUAAUAGCUCACUGGUCAAGCCGCCCUGCGCCGAAAAUGUACCGGGGCUCAAGCCAUACACCGAAGCUGCGGAUGUGAUCUUUUAGAUCACGUGGUAGCGGAGCGUUCCGUAAGCCUGCGAAGGCGUCGCCGUGAGGGGCGCUGGAGGUAUCGGAAGUGCGAAUGCUGACAUGAGUAGCGACAAACAGUGUGAGAAACACUGUCGCCGAAAGUCCAAGGGUUCCUGCGCAAGGUUAAUCCACGCAGGGUAAGCCGGCCCCUAAGGCGAGGCCGAAAGGCGUAGUCGAUGGGAACCACGUUAAUAUUCGUGGGCCAGUGGAUAGUGACGGAGCCAAAACGUUGUCAGUCCUUAUCGGAUUGGAUUGGCAGCUGGAGGCUUCCAGGAAAUAGCUUCCACAUUAGACCGUACCCGAAACCGACACAGGUGGACUGGUAGAGGAUACCAAGGCGCUUGAGAGAAUGAUGUCGAAGGAACUCGGCAAAUUACCCUCGUAACUUCGGGAUAAGAGGGCCUCGUUUGUGGGCAACCACGGGCGAGGGGCACAGAAAUGGGGGUGGCGACUGUUUAUCAAAAACACAGGGCUCUGCUAAGUCGCACAAGACGACGUAUAGGGUCUGACGCCUGCCCGGUGCUGGAAGGUUAAAAGGAGAGGUGCAAGCCUUGAAUUGAAGCCCCAGUAAACGGCGGCCGUAACUAUAACGGUCCUAAGGUAGCGAAAUUCCUUGUCGGGUAAGUUCCGACCUGCACGAAUGGCGUAACGACUUCCCCACUGUCUCCGACAUCAACUCAGCGAAAUUGAAUUCCCCGUGAAGAUGCGGGGUACCCGCGGUCAGACGGAAAGACCCCGUGCACCUUUACUAUAGCUUUGCAGUGGCAUUAGGGAUCGAAUGUGUAGGAUAGGUGGGAGGCUUUGAAGCAUUGGCGCCAGCCAGUGUGGAGCCAACCUUGAAAUACCACCCUUGCGAUCUCUGAUGUCUAACCUCGGUCCAUUAUCUGGAUCAGGGACCCUGCAUGGUGGGUAGUUUGACUGGGGCGGUCGCCUCCCAAAGAGUAACGGAGGCGCGCGAUGGUAGGCUCAGGCUGGUCGGAAAUCAGCUGUCGAGUGCAAUGGCAUAAGCCUGCCUGACUGCAAGAGCGACGGUUCGAGCAGAGACGAAAGUCGGUCAUAGUGAUCUGGUGGUCCCGCAUGGAAGGGCCAUCACUCAACGGAUAAAAGGUACGCCGGGGAUAACAGGCUGAUCUCCCCCAAGAGUCCACAUCGACGGGGAGGUUUGGCACCUCGAUGUCGGCUCAUCACAUCCUGGGGCUGGAGCAGGUCCCAAGGGUAUGGCUGUUCGCCAUUUAAAGUGGUACGUGAGCUGGGUUCAGAACGUCGUGAGACAGUUCGGUCCCUAUCUGCCGUGGGUGUUGGAGUAUUGAGAGGACUUGUCCCUAGUACGAGAGGACCGGGAUGAACGCACCUCUGGUGUAUCGGUUGUCACGCCAGUGGCAUCGCCGAGUAGCUAUGUGCGGACGAGAUAACCGCUGAAAGCAUCUAAGCGGGAAGCUCCCCUCAAAACGAGUACUCCCUAUCAGAGCCGUGAUAGACCAUCACGUUGAUAGGCUGGAUGUGGAAGUGCGGCGACGCACGAAGCUAACCAGUACUAAUCGCUCGAUCGGCUUGAAUU
rnacentral:rRNA from 1 species